rnacentral:rRNA from 1 species
UGGGGAAUAUUGCACAAUGGGCGGAAGCCUGAUGCAGCGACGCCGCGUGGGGGAUGAAGGCCUUCGGGUUGUAAACUCCUUUCGACAGGGACGAAGCUUUUGUGACGGUACCUGUAUAAGAAGCACCGGCUAACUACGUGCCAGCAGCCGCGGUAAUACGUAGGGUGCGAGCGUUGUCCGGAAUUACUGGGCGUAAAGAGCUCGUAGGUGGUUUGUCGCGUCGUCUGUGAAAUUCCGGGGCUUAACUCCGGGCGUGCAGGCGAUACGGGCUGACUUGAGUGCUGUAGGGGAGACUGGAAUUCCUGGUGUAGCGGUGAAAUGCGCAGAUAUCAGGAGGUACACCGAUGGCGAAGGCAGGUCUCUGGGCAGUAACUGACGCUGAGGAGCGAAAGCAUGGGUAGCGAACAGG